AAAAUGGCAUGGCAGGCCUUCUCUUUCCAGUUCUUCCCAGAAUUGGGAAAAGCUGGGUUGACAGGGUAAAAAAAAGAAAAAC
rnacentral:pre_miRNA from 8 species